rnacentral:rRNA from 1 species
AGCGAACGUUUGCGGCGGGCUUAACACAUGCAAGUCGAACGAGAAUCCCUUCGGGGAGGAAAGUGGCGCACGGGUGCGUAACACGUGGAUAACCAACCCAUUGGUUUGGGACAACACCGGGAAACUGGUGCUAAUACCAGAUGUGUCGCAGCUGUCUUCAGGCGGUUGCGAGAAAGGCCCGCAAGGGGUCGCCAACGGACGGGUCCGCGUCCCAUCAGCUAGUUGGUGAGGUAAUGGCUCACCAAGGCAAAGACGGGUAAGCUGGUCUGAGAGGAUGAUCAGCCACACUGGAACUGAGACACGGUCCAGACUCCUACGGGAGGCAGCAGUGGGGAAUA